rnacentral:lncRNA from 1 species
CUUGUGUCUCUGCCCUUUGGGUCGCGAGUCCCUGGCGCCGGCACGUGAAGGCCCGGGUCCUGGCUGCUAUCCGGGAUCCGGACGCUCCCUUCGGCUUCGGCCUGGUGCUCCAGGCCGUAAGGGAACGGCGGCGGCAGCAGCAGCGGCAAAAAAAGAAGCUGGGUAAGGCAGUGACGUCAUCUGUGGCGGCCCCUCCCCCGCCCACCAGCCCUCACCGCAUUUCCUGCCCAACGACAUCCGGG